GAUGAACGCUGGCGGCGUGCUUAACACAUGCAAGUCGAACGAUGAUCCCAGCUUGCUGGGGGAUUAGUGGCGAACGGGUGAGUAACACGUGAGUAACCUGCCCUUAACUCUGGGAUAAGCCUGGGAAACUGGGUCUAAUACCGGAUAUGACUCCUCAUCGCAUGGUGGGGGGUGGAAAGCUUUAUUGUGGUUUUGGAUGGACUCGCGGCCUAUCAGCUUGUUGGUGAGGUAAUGGCUCACCAAGGCGACGACGGGUAGCCGGCCUGAGAGGGUGACCGGCCACACUGGGACUGAGACACGGCCCAGACUCCUACGGGAGGCAGCAGUGGGGAAUAUUGCACAAUGGGCGAAAGCCUGAUGCAGCGACGCCGCGUGAGGGAUGACGGCCUUCGGGUUGUAAACCUCUUUCAGUAGGGAAGAAGCGAAAGUGACGGUACCUGCAGAAGAAGCGCCGGCUAACUACGUGCCAGCAGCCGCGGUAAUACGUAGGGCGCAAGCGUUAUCCGGAAUUAUUGGGCGUAAAGAGCUCGUAGGCGGUUUGUCGCGUCUGCCGUGAAAGUCCGGGGCUCAACUCCGGAUCUGCGGUGGGUACGGGCAGACUAGAGUGAUGUAGGGGAGACUGGAAUUCCUGGUGUAGCGGUGAAAUGCGCAGAUAUCAGGAGGAACACCGAUGGCGAAGGCAGGUCUCUGGGCAUUAACUGACGCUGAGGAGCGAAAGCAUGGGA
rnacentral:rRNA from 1 species